GAUCAUUCACUUAUUUGCAUCGGUCCCCUACAUAGAGGAUGCGUAGGCCGGAGCUGACUGCUGAGAUAAACUACUAAGGACUUAUACGGAAAUGAUGAUUAAAGCCAUGGUAUAUGGGGUUUCGGGAAUGAUUCCUAUAUUUACGAAGCUUAUGGUGCUAAAACAGAUACUGAUGUUUCGCAAAGUUCUCCCAAGUCACCGCAUCCUUACACAAAAC
rnacentral:lncRNA from 1 species